rnacentral:tRNA from 1 species
CUUAGCUCAGCUGGAUAGAGCAACUGCCUUCUAAGCAGUAGGUCACUGGUUCGAAUCCAGUAG